UAUGACUCUCGGCAAUGGAUAUCUUGGCUCUUGCAUCGAUGAAGAGCGCAGCGAAAUGCGAUACGUGGUGUGAAUUGCAGAAUCCCGUGAACCAUCAAAUAUUUGAACGCAAGUUGCGCCCGAGGCCAAUUGGCUAAGGGCACGUCCGCCUGGGCGUCAAGCAUU
rnacentral:rRNA from 1 species